rnacentral:rRNA from 1 species
GAGCGAGGCCCUCCUUCAGGGGGGUGCCCUAGCGGCGAACGGGUGAGUAACACGUGGGCAACCUGCCCUCAGCUCUGGGAUAACUCCAAGAAAUUGGUGCUAAUACCGGAUGUGACCGCUGACCGCAUGGUCUGGUGGUGGAAAGAUUCAUCGGCUGAGGAUGGGCCCGCGGCCUAUCAGCUUGUUGGUGGGGUGAUGGCCCACCAAGGCGACGACGGGUAGCCGGCCUGAGAGGGUGACCGGCCACACUGGGACUGAGACACGGCCCAGACUCCUACGGGAGGCAGCAGUGGGGAAUAUUGCGCAAUGGGCGAAAGCCUGACGCAGCGACGCCGCGUGAGGGAUGACGGCCUUCGGGUUGUAAACCUCUUUCAGUAGGGACGAAGCGCAAGUGACGGUACCUACAGAAGAAGCACCGGCCAACUACGUGCCAGCAGCCGCGGUAAUACGUAGGGUGCAAGCGUUGUCCGGAAUUAUUGGGCGUAAAGAGCUCGUAGGCGGUCUGUCACGUCGGCUGUGAAAACCCGAGGCUCAACCUCGGGCCUGCAGUCGAUACGGGCAAACUAGAGUACUGCAGGGGAGACUGGAAUUCCUGGUGUAGCGGUGAAAUGCGCAGAUAUCAGGAGGAACACCGGUGGCGAAGGCGGGUCUCUGGGCAGUAACUGACGCUGAGGAGCGAAAGCGUGGGGAGCGAACAGGAUUAGAUACCCUGGUAGUCCACGCCGUAAACGUUGGGCGCUAGGUGUGGGGGCCAUUCCACGGUCUCCGUGCCGCAGCUAACGCAUUAAGCGCCCGCCUGGGGAGUACGGCCGCAAGGCUAAAACUCAAAGGAAUUGACGGGGGCCCGCACAAGCGGCGGAGCAUGUUGCUUAAUUCGAUGCAACGCGAAGAACCUUACCUAGGCUUGACAUGCACGGAAAUCUCGUAGAGAUACGGGGUGCCUUUGGCGUCGUGCACAGGUGGUGCAUGGUUGUCGUCAGCUCGUGUCGUGAGAUGUUGGGUUAAGUCCCGCAACGAGCGCAACCCUCGUUCUAUGUUGCCAGCACGUGAUGGUGGGGACUCAUAGGAGACUGCCGGGGUCAACUCGGAGGAAGGUGGGGAUGACGUCAAAUCAUCAUGCCCCUUAUGUCUAGGGCUGCAAACAUGCUACAAUGGCCGGUACAAAGGGCUGCGAUACCGCGAGGUGGAGCGAAUCCCAAAAAGCCGGUCUCAGUUCGGAUUGGGGUCUGCAACUCGACCCCAUGAAGUUGGAGUCGCUAGUAAUCGCAGAUCAGCAACGCUGCGGUGAAUACGUUCCCGGGCCUUGUACACACCGCCCGUCACGUCACGAAAGUCGGUAACGCCCGAAGCCGGUGGCCCAACCCUUGUGGAGGGAGCCGUCGAAGGCGGGAUCGGCGA